rnacentral:tRNA from 1 species
CGCGGGGUGGAGCAGCUUGGUAGCUCGUCGGGCUCAUAACCCGAAGGUCGUCGGUUAAAAUCCGGCCCCCGCAACCA